AGCAACCUUUAGACAAAAAGUAAUGAAGUUUACAAUGGCAUUCCUGUUUGCUUAGGUGGCCUGCUCUAUCCGAAGAAUAAUACCCAAGCAUUAAGAAUGGAAUAUAAGCCUCUCCAGCCUAGUCCUCUUUCCUUUGAUCCAGCCUCAUUUUCUACCAUUAGCAAUCCUGAAUUUUAUGCUUCCUUAGUUCAAACAGCUGACAGUUUCCCCGAACUCUUACUGCACCAGUCACUAUAGGAGACCUUACACAGGCUUCAUCCCUUCUACAAAACCGCCCCUAUGACAGGGACACCGAUUGCAAAUGACACCAAUGACUUUCUUCCCUCAAGUGAAACCCCUUGCCAUGUGACUUAGCAGCUCCCUCCAUCAGGACGUGGGAUUUUUUCUACACCCCUUGAAUCUGGAGGGACCGGCGACUUAUGUAGGAGAACAGAUUAGAGCAGAAGUACUGAUGUGCCAGUUCAGAGCCUAGGAGGCCUUAUGCUCUUCCCUGGUUCCUCCUCUCUUGGAACUCCACCACGCUCAAGUAAAGAAGACCAGCCUAGCAGACGCAAGAAGCGACUUGGAGGAGACCCUAGAAUUCAAGUCAAGGUUCACAUAACUAACACGGAAAGGUAGUCGACAGAGCAAGAACCCAUUACUAACCAGCCUGAGAAGUACUUCGGGAGAACCUUCACACCGUACCCUUUGCAUUAGGAAGGACAGAGGAAGGAGCUGAAGGUCUUCAGGGAAACACAAGAUUAAAGACAGUAUUUGAUGGUCACAAAACCCUUCCUCAUUUAUGAGGUACCUGAAUCCCUCCCGGGCGGCAGCAAUGAAGAGCAGGAGAGCGAGUCAUCACAGCCAACGCAACUGCAACUGAGCGGAAGCCUCUAGCUGUGGGACGGACCUGCCGUGACCCCCGGCCUAGCUGAGUGACGUGAGCCACACUGAGCCUCAGGUUUCCUGUGUGAGAUGGGGAAGCGGCGUCAGCCUCCCGGCACCACGGCGGAGGAUCAGAUGGCCGCUGUCACACGUAUGGGCAAAUCACCAAGCACACUGCUGGCACAGCAGGGGCUCGCGAGAUGGGCCUUUCUUCACCUUCCCAGUUCUACACAGCCAAUUUCUCUCCAUUUUCCACCUGAUUUUUCUGUACUUUCAAAACCCAUCUCAGUCUCCCCUUUGCAGUCUCCCCAGACAAAAGCACCUGCUCCUGUAACACUCUGUUUUUGCACCUCUUUACAGUCAAUCUUGCCAUACAUCACAUGCAGCCACAUGCUUGUGUCUGAUCAUAGUUUUGCUUGAUUUAAAAUGUCUUGUGAGGAGUAGUGUUAACUUAUUUUCAUAAAGCCUGUUUCUUCUCCCCUUGCUGCUAUACUAGCACAGGGACUAGUGCUCAGGGUCAGGUCCCUGUCAAAUGUUUAACUUUCCAAGCAUUUAUUCUUCAAAAUAUGAAGACAUGCCAGCAGCUUUGGCAACCUCUGCUCCGUAAAGCCACCAUUAAAAAAAAAUACAAACAGGCGAUGAUUUGACAAGUCUUCCCUCGGCUAAGAAUGAUUUGACAGCAGUUGUCCAGAAAAGGUUUAUUUAAUAUCACAAGAUCAGGGGCCAUCUGUCUUACAUUUUCUCUCCAAGAGAAUUAAUUCCAUCCACAUCUCUGUAUCUUAAAAUGGAAUAAUAUACAGCCAUAAACUAACAACUAUUUCUAACGUAGAAGUAGAGUCUACUGAAUUAAAAAUCCUUUACUCAUCUGUAUAUCAACAUAUCUGUAUCUCAAGUCAUACAUCAAAUGGUCAUUAUAAGAAAACUAUAUCAGAUCAAUUUUGUACAUUUUAGCACCCCAAAGCCCUAACUCAGAUCAGCAGGAAUGCUGAAAACACAAAGCUCUAAAUGAAAUCAACUUUUUCAGCAACCCAGAAGGCCUUCUACUAUCCCGAGCCAAAAUGCAAUCAAAUUCUGCAAUCCCCAGAAACCUGAUUAAAAUCCUAGAAUUCUAAGAAAGUCUCUAAACUGACACAGAACAUCUGGUAUCACUUUCCUACAUAUAACAUUCACUCCUAAAGACUAGAAAUCUAUUACAUAAAUGCCUCUUACUGUCACCAACUGAAUAGCUAUUAUGAUUUUCCAUUAGAGAAAGUAUUUUGGGAUUCACAAAGGGGGCAAGAAAAUAUCUGAUUAUUAUCCUAGCAUGUAUGACCAACUUCAAACAAAAGGUCCUUUUUUCCCUUUAUAUCCAGAGACCUCCCAUAAAAACAAACAAGACAAAGUAUUAAACCUUUUGUUCCACUCUCCCGCCACAAUAUUGUUUGCUACGCUGAAAAGGAGUCUUGUUUCACCAAUUACUUGUCACAUUACUAACCCGCAUCAAACUCCAAGAACAAGAUUCGGGUCACCAAUGACUCAAAACCCCACUUUUUAAGGAAAAGAUGUUAUCACGUGAGGAAGCAAAGUGCUUGUAGAAUCCACA